UCCUAGACCUGGAGGCUUGAAACUCAUGCUGGACACAUAGGCAAAAGUGACAUGGAGAGGAGGAAAGGAGAGCUUCUCCAACUAGAACAGGAAUAAGGUUCUCCUCGUUCAGCUUUUCAGUGUCUCCUGGGAUGGCGGUGCCAAGCAGCAAGCAGUUUCCCGUGCAUGUAAUGGCACGAUCACCUUCACACUUCCAUGAGGUCUGGAAAGCAGGUCUCCCUCCUGAACGUGUCCUGCGCCAGGAAGACGUGUAGCCAAGGAGGCCUGGAUCGCCGUGUUUUUGCACCCUCCAUUAAAGUCCGCUGUCU